GAUUUUUAGGCUGGUUAGGUUUAAAACUACAGAUGAGAUUCAGGCUCCAAGGAGUGGAAUUUGUUUGCCCCUUUGUUGGGAAACAUUUACAUUUCUAAGGGAAACCUCUAUCUGUGAAAAUGCCUCCCUCUCUGUGCCAGGAAGAAGGGGGGAUGGUCUUAUCUCUAGAAGCUCUUAAUCAAUGCCAGAGGCAAGAACUUAAGUUGGUUACUGUCUGGCAACCUCUUGUAACUGACCCCCCCCACCACAAAUCCUCCUUUGUCUUUAGCCGAGGAUAAAAUUCAAGCGGUGACUUCUGCCAUUUACUCAAUCCGGUUUAAUUCUUAUCUAAAAGUUCUGGGACCACCAAAUGGCCAGACCAUACGGGCACUGAUACCAUUUUAACUUUUUUACAUAUUCUUUGUCUUGUAAAGAGAUAACUCACAUACCUAUGCCUUAAAUUUAGCCUUACUCUCCACCCAACUUUGCAGCAGCAGCAGCAGCAGCAGCGCCGGCAGCAGCAGCUCUGCCUGCCCAUGGGUCCUGUCCCCAUGCCAGUGGCGGCAGCAGCAGCUCCCCAUGCCAGCAGCAUCUCUGACUGCCCAUGGGUCCUGUCCCCACGCAGCAGCUUGACUGCCCAUGGGUCCUGUCCCCAUGCUAUUCUACUCUCUAAAUAAAAGAGCACUACUGCCAGAUCUUAAGAGUCUAAGAAAUCUUUCUUUCGACUCCUCGGCUCACCGACCCCGCAUCAUUUCUGGUGGCCCGUACAGGGAAUCUCGCUUCAUCGGCUUGUGAGCUCGAGUUCUGUUUCACCUCCUGGACCACCUCUCGUCAAAUGAUUCUCUCGUCUCCAGAGGAUCUGUACACCUUGUCAGGCUUGGACUCCAUGGGUGCAGCCUUCCGGUCCACUGAACUUCCUACCCAUACCUAUGGCCCCAUUUAGGAACAGCUCUACGACCUUGUACACCUGGAAGUAGUUACAGAAGACUGACCGUCGUCCAUAUCCCCAAAAGAUUUCGGGGCCAAAUGGGUUCAGGGGGGUUUAUGAUGUGGAUUAAGGCUGCCCCAGCUAGAGAAGCCCAAGGUGACCUGGCCUACAUGCCAAACUAUACGACCCAGUGGACUUUUUUUGUGGUAUGAAUUAGGACUGCCCCAGGGAGAGAAGCCCAGGGCAUCCUCACCUACAUGCCGAUCGAUAUGGCCAGAUUCGUAUCUAAAGUUAUAUGACCGCACAAUAACCAGACCUCAUCUGCACUGAAAUCAUUUACUGACUUUUUACAUCAUCUUUUCUUUUCUCCAGUAAAAAUAAGUCACGUACCCAUGCCUUAUAAAAUUAGCCCUAACCCUCAACUCGGGGCAGCAGCAGGAGCUCUGACUGCCCAUGUGUCCUGUCCCCAUGCUUUUCUGUUCUCUAAAUAAAAGAGCACUACUGCCAG
rnacentral:lncRNA from 1 species